rnacentral:rRNA from 1 species
UGGGGAAUAUUGGGCAAUGGGCGAAAGCCUGACCCAGCAACGCCGCGUGAAGUAUGAAGGCCUUCGGGUUGUAAACUUCUUUGAUCAGGGAAGAAACAAAUGACGGUACCUGAAAAACAAGCCACGGCUAACUACGUGCCAGCAGCCGCGGUAAUACGUAGGUGGCGAGCGUUAUCCGGAUUUACUGGGUGUAAAGGGCGUGCAGGCGGGCUGAUAAGUCAGAUGUGAAAUCCCCGAGCUUAACUCGGGAACUGCAUCUGAUACUGUUGGUCUUGAGUGCUGGAGAGGAUAGUGGAAUUCCUAGUGUGGCGGUAAAAUGCGCCGAUAUUAGGAGGAACACCAGUGGCGAAGGCGGCUAUCUGGACAGUAACUGACGCUGAGGCGCGAAAGCGUGGGUAGCAAACAGG